rnacentral:rRNA from 1 species
AGCGAACGCUGGCGGCAGACCUAACACAUGCAAGUCGAACGAACUCUUCGGAGUUAGUGGCGGACGGGUGAGUAACACGUGGGAACGUGCCUUUAGGUUCGGAAUAACUCAGGGAAACUUGUGCUAAUACCGAAUGUGCCCUUCGGGGGAAAGAUUUAUCGCCUUUAGAGCGGCCCGCGUCUGAUUAGCUUGUUGGUGGGGUAAUGGCCCACCAAGGCGACGAUCAGUAGCUGGUCUGAGAGGAUGACCAGCCACAUUGGGACUGAGACACGGCCCAAACUCCUACGGGAGGCAGCAGUGGGGAAUUUUGCGCAAUGGGCGAAAGCCUGACGCAGCCAUGCCGCGUGGAUGACGAAGGUCUUAGGAUUGUAAAAUCCUUUCACCGGUGAAGAUAAUGACUGUAGCCGGAGAAGAAGCCCCGGCUAACUUCGUGCCAGCCGCCGCCGUAACAC